CAGACAUUCGCCCUGAGAACUUUCCUCUCCAACACCAGCGAAAAUGCUAUUUUUGCUCCUUUUAAUGUUCACUAUGGAGACUCUGGAAGGUGUCCGGUCCCAAGUGCAGCUGGUGGAGUCGGGAGGGGAUGUGAAAAAGCCCGGAGACUCUCUCCGCCUCUCCUGCAAAGCCUCCGGCUUCACCUUCAACAGCUACUACAUGGAAUGGUUCCGCCAGGCUCCCGGGAAGGGGCUGGAGUGGGUGGCUGAGAUUAGACCAGAUGCAUCCAACCAGUGGUACUCCCCGGCUGUUCAAGGGCGAUUCACCAUCUCCAGGAACAAUCCCAACAACCUGCUGUAUCUGCAAAUGACCGGCCUGAAGCCCGAGGACACCGCCCGGUAUCACUGUGCCAGACGCACAGUGAGAGGAAACCGAGUGGUGCUAAUACCAAAACCAGAGCGGAAGAAAUCCCAUUUCCCGCCCUGCGCCACUUGGCGGCAGCAGUAG